GUGGAUCAACUUUGUAACUACGUGACACAUUCUUCAACUUGUGAGUCAUUUCUUCUUUUGGAAAGACAUUUGAAAUAGAGUCAUCUGUUUCUUUAUCUAGAUACAAUGUGCCAAUUGCUGGGGUCACCUAAUACUGGGAGAGGGUCAAAAGGAGACAUUCUUGAAACAAUUCAUUCUCAUUCCAAACUGACCAACUUAGCUUUCUAGAGCUGAAUCAUAACAUUCAUAGUCUAACAUAUUAGGCUAACUUAACAGAAGCCUGAACUACCAAGUCACUAAGGCAAGGCUGCUCCACACUAUUUUGAAACAGCUUUUAAAAAUUCCUUCAGUGUUUUCACAAUAUUUUUUCAAUAAUGAAGACCUACAUCCUCCUUAUGAUGUUUCUGCUGUUGCUGAUCACCAUUGUCAUCAUGAUUUGAUGAGCAGAAUGGCGACUUAGGAGCGUGGACUCAGGUGUGAAUUCCAGCUCUUCUAGCGACUGUGUGACCUUUAGGCAGUUACCUGGCCUCUCAGUUUGCUCAACUGUAAACUGGGAAGCACAUGUAAAGUGCCUAGAAGACUGUCUGUGUUGUGGCCAUCCUGCAGGAAGCUGCACAUCCAGAAAAUUGAAAGAAUAAAAAUGAUGAAGUACAGCCUGAGAUGUUAAAGAUUAUAGUGAAUAUCUGUUCGUCAGAAGCCCCAUGUAGUGGUCUAUUAAAGUCUGGAUGCAGAAAUCUAAAAAGACUGGAUUGUUGGCCUCAGACUGAAUUCCUAGAGGCUCUCAGAAGCCUGAAGCCAUGGUUUUCCGUUUCUGUCUCCAGUGAUAAGCUUAAAAGAGGAAUGAAGAAGAGGAUUUACUGGCUCAACCAGAAACAGAAACUAAGAAUCCAUGACUGUAUUCUCUCCCUUAGACACCCAAUAGCUUCUCUCUUCUAG
rnacentral:lncRNA from 1 species